UACGAAGGGUGCUAGCGUUGUUCGGAAUCACUGGGCGUAAAGCGCGCGUAGGCGGCUUUCCAAGUCAGGGGUGAAAUCCUGGGGCUUAACCCCAGAAUUGCCUUUGAAACUGGAGAGCUAGAGUACUGGAGGGGUUGGCGGAAUUCCGUAAUGUAGAGGUGAAAUUCGUAGAUAUUAGGAGGAACACCGGUGGCGAAGGCGGCCAACUGGACAGUAACUGACGCUCUGGCGCGAAAGCGUGGGUAUCAAACAGG
rnacentral:rRNA from 1 species